rnacentral:rRNA from 1 species
GACGAACGCUGGCGGCGUGCCUAAUACAUGCAAGUAGAACGCACAGUUUAUACCGUAGCUUGCUACACCAUAGACUGUGAGUUGCGAACGGGUGAGUAACGCGAAGGUAACCUGCCUGGUAGCGGGGGAUAACUAUUGGAAACGAUAGCUAAUACCGCAUAAUAUUAAUUAUUGCAUGAUAAUUGAUUAAAAGGUGCAAUUGCACCACUACCAGAUGGACCUGCGUUGUAUUAGCUAGUAGGUGAGGUAACGGCUCACCUAGGCGACGAUACAUAGCCGACCUGAGAGGGUGAUCGGCCACACUGGGACUGAGACACGGCCCAGACUCCUACGGGAGGCAGCAGUAGGGAAUCUUCGGCAAUGGACGAAAGUCUGACCGAGCAACGCCGCGUGAGUGAAGAAGGUUUUCGGAUCGUAAAGCUCUGUUGUAAGAGAAGAACGGGUGUGAGAGUGGAAAGUUCACACUGUGACGGUAUCUUACCAGAAAGGCGGU